rnacentral:rRNA from 1 species
CGGCCGCGUCGACGGCCUACCAAGGCAUCGAUCAGUAGCUGGUCUGAGAGGACGACCAGCCACACUGGAACUGAGACACGGUCCAGACUCCUACGGGAGGCAGCAGUGGGGAAUUUGGACAAUGGGCGAAAGCCUGAUCCAGCAAUGCCGCGUGAGUGAAGAAGGCCUCGGUGUAAGCUCUUUGUCUGGAAGAAGUAGUGAAGCAACCUGACAGUCGUGGAGGCAAGGCACACAGGGAUAGG